UGCCAAUGGCCGCGCCCACCCGAGCCCCACCACCACCACCACGCCGCCCGUCGAUCCCCACACCGCCGGCCGUUACCCAGCCCCUACCACCGGCCACCUCUGCCGGCUAUAAAAGGCCCAAACGCCCGGCCUCUCCCACCGCUCCACCUCCUCCCAGCUCACCACCCUCCCUCCCAUGCGCCACCUUGGCCGAGUGCCGCCGCCACAUAGCCGUGCGCCGCCGCCGAAGUCCACCACCAGCCGCCCCUUCCCCGGUGCCUCCACCCACAAUAAGGGAGCCAAAAUGGGAUCCCCAUCCCUUCCUCCACCUCCCCCGGCCCUUGGCUCGCCGCCGGUGAAGUCCGGCCGGCCGCAGCCGGCCACCCUCUCCCUCCCAACUCCCUGGCCGACCCAAGAAAGGAAAAGAAGAAAACUCCCCAAAUUUCGAUCUAACCCCCUAAAAUCCCCUAUUCGCAAAAUAACCCUUCCACCUCUCUCAAAGUCUGUUUCGCAGAUCUGCCCUUCCACUCCCAAAAGUAUUUACAAAUAGGUCCCUGAAUUCUUGCGGUUUAGUCCUAAACUCCCUUUUAAGCCCCUAAUCCAUGUUUAAGUUGUCAUUUCAUGCGCCAAACUUCCUCCAAUUAACCCCAAAUUCGACCAAAUCAUCCUCCAAUAUACUUUCGCCGAUCCAUAUCCAAAUUUCCCAAAAAUACUCAUUCUACCUAUUUUCCAU
rnacentral:lncRNA from 1 species